AAUACAUUCUUAUGUUCAAAAUAAAAGCACUCACCUAACUCUAGCCCCUCUUCCGAGUAGGGCGUGACAUCAACAAGACAUCACAAUUGGCUAUCAUCAACGGACAACCAGCGUCGUCAAGAAAAUCUUGGAAAGCAACAAAUAGAUUAAUUAGGUGUGACAUCAACAAGACAUCACAAUUGAUUGCCAUCAGCGGACAACCAGCGCCGUCGAAAAGAUCUUGGAAAUCAAUGAAUAGAUCAGGCAGAGCCACGCGAAGGUUUGGACGCUCAGGUUUCCGACUGCACCUAGACCUCCGAGCGCAUCAGCAAC